CAGCAAUGCGGGAGCGGCAGACGGGUGAGGAACACGUGGGAACAUACCCUUUGGUUCGGAAUAACUCAGGGAAACUUGAGCUAAUACCGGAUAAGUCGGCAACGAGAAAGAUUCAUCGCCGAAGGAUUGGCCCGCGUCCGAUUAGCUAGUUGGUGAGGUAAUGGCUCACCAAGGCGACGAUCGGUAGCUGGUCUGAGAGGAUGAUCAGCCACAUUGGGACUGAGACACGGCCCAAACUCCUACGGGAGGCAGCAGUGGGGAAUAUUGGACAAUGGGCGCAAGCCUGAUCCAGCCAUGCCGCGUGAGUGAUGACGGCCCUAGGG
rnacentral:rRNA from 1 species